UACGGGGGGGGCAAGCGUUGUUCGGAAUUACUGGGCGUAAAGGGCUCGUAGGCGGCCAACUAAGUCGGAUGUGAAAUCCCCAAGCUUAACUUGGGAACUGCAUCCGAUACUGGAUGGCUUGAAUCCGGGAGAGGGAUGCAGAAUUCCAGGUGUAGCGGUGAAAUGCGUAGAUAUCUGGAGGAAUACCGGUGGCGAAGGCGGCAUCCUGGACCGGCAUUGACGCUGAGGAGCGAGAGCUAGGGGAGCAAACGGG
rnacentral:rRNA from 1 species